AGGACGUUACUAACGACGAUAUGCUUUGGGGAGCUGUAAGUAAGCUUUGAUCCAGAGAUUUCCGAAUGGGGAAACCCAGCAUGAGUUAUGUCAUGUUAUCGAUAUGUGAAUACAUAGCAUAUCAGAAGGCACACCCGGAGAACUGAAACAUCUUAGUACCCGGAGGAAGAGAAAGAAAAUUCGAUUCCCUUAGUAGCGGCGAGCGAAACGGGAAGAGCCCAAACCAACAAGCUUGCUUGUUGGGGUUGUAGGACACUCUAUACGGAGUUACAAAGGACGACAUUAGACGAAUCAUCUGGAAAGAUGAAUCAAAGAAGGUAAUAAUCCUGUAGUCGAAAAUGUUGUCUCUCUUGAGUGGAUCCUGAGUACGACGGAGCACGUGAAAUUCCGUCGGAAUCUGGGAGGACCAUCUCCUAAGGCUAAAUACUCUCUAGUGACCGAUAGUGAACCAGUACCGUGAGGGAAAGGUGAAAAGCACCCCGGAAGGGGAGUGAAAUAGAACCUGAAACCGUGUGCUUACAAGUAGUCAGAGCCCGUUAAUGGGUGAUGGCGUGCCUUUUGUAGAAUGAACCGGCGAGUUACGAUUUGAUGCAAGGUUAAGCAGUAAAUGUGGAGCCGUAGCGAAAGCGAGUCUGAAUAGGGCGUUUAGUAUUUGGUCGUAGACCCGAAACCAGGUGAUCUACCCUUGGUCAGGUUGAAGUUCAGGUAACACUGAAUGGAGGACCGAACCGACUUACGUUGAAAAGUGAGCGGAUGAACUGAGGGUAGCGGAGAAAUUCCAAUCGAACCUGGAGAUAGCUGGUUCUCUCCGAAAUAGCUUUAGGGCUAGCCUCAAGUGAUGAUUAUUGGAGGUAGAGCACUGUUUGGACGAGGGGCCCCUCUCGGGUUACCGAAUUCAGACAAACUCCGAAUGCCAAUUAAUUUAACUUGGGAGUCAGAACAUGGGUGAUAAGGUCCGUGUUCGAAAGGGAAACAGCCCAGACCACCAGCUAAGGUCCCAAAAUAUAUGUUAAGUGGAAAAGGAUGUGGCGUUGCCCAGACAACUAGGAUGUUGGCUUAGAAGCAGCCAUCAUUUAAAGAGUGCGUAAUAGCUCACUAGUCGAGUGACACUGCGCCGAAAAUGUACCGGGGCUAAACAUAUUACCGAAGCUGUGGAUUGUCCUUUGGACAAUGGUAGGAGAGCGUUCUAAGGGCGUUGAAGCAUGAUCGUAAGGACAUGUGGAGCGCUUAGAAGUGAGAAUGCCGGUGUGAGUAGCGAAAGACGGGUGAGAAUCCCGUCCACCGAUUGACUAAGGUUUCCAGAGGAAGGCUCGUCCGCUCUGGGUUAGUCGGGUCCUAAGCUGAGGCCGACAGGCGUAGGCGAUGGAUAACAGGUUGAUAUUCCUGUACCACCUAUAAUCGUUUUAAUCGAUGGGGGGACGCAGUAGGAUAGGCGAAGCGUGCGAUUGGAUUGCACGUCUAAGCAGUAAGGCUGAGUAUUAGGCAAA
rnacentral:rRNA from 1 species